rnacentral:rRNA from 1 species
GACGAACCGUGCGAACGUUAUUCGGAAUCACUGGGCUUAAAGCGCGUGUAGGCGGAUGGGAACGUCGGUCGCUGAAAUCCCCCGGCUCAACCGGGGAACGGGCGCCGAAACGACCCGUCUGGAGGGACGUAGGGGGACCUGGAACUUCCGGUGGAGCGGUGAAAUGCGUUGAGAUCGGAAGGAACGCCCGUGGCGAAAGCGGUUCUCUGGGACGGUACUGACGCUGAGACGCGAAAGCGUGGGGAGCGAACAGG